AUGGCGUUGGUGCGGCCGGGCACGGCAGCCAAGCAUAUGAGGUCAUCGUCAGCUACAAUUUUAGAUGGCCGACUCCUGCAUCAGCGUUCGUGGUCUAGUCCUCAUCGGUCCGCAAACAUAUACGGCAUCCGCUGCUAUUGGGCCGGCACGACCAGGACCGGGCCGAUUUGGUCACCUUUGUGGCCCAUAAAUCUCAAUCUAACACACGCCCGGCCCGACCGUCCAGCUCUGCUCAUCCCCUCCCCAAACCCUCUCCCGCCCCAAGCUCAGCAGGACACGGCCGCCGCCGGCCGCGACUACUACGCCGCGAACAUGACCGACUUCCUCAGCGGCAACAUCGUCGCCAUCCCCAUCCCCACCGGCCGGGGCCCGGGCGGCCAAGAAGCUCCCCGGCGUCCGGGAGCUCUUCGACAAGCCACCCACCUGCUACGAGAUCCACUAGGGCAUCAAAGCCGGGCCUGCGGCAAGAGGUCGUCAGGUCACAGAGAGGCACCGCGUGCAGAGUGUGCGGCUGGAAGCCGUGAAGAAUGUGGGCACACCCACCAGUUCGGCUGCCCGCCUUUUAUUGGUGAUGCUCUUCUCUCCGCCUCUUUGGAUACUUCAAUUCUUCCUGGUACUCUUAUUGGUUCAAAGCUUUGCCAUCUGACAGCGGUUGAUUUCUACUUGUCUAGCCAUGCUGACAUUCGGGAACAAGCCGGCCUGAGCAUUAUCAUGUUCUCUCCUCGGGCGGUAAAAUUCGACGCUGACCAUGUGGCAGCCUUCUGGGCUGGAUUGUGCAUGGAGCGGUACUCCACAGGGCGGCGGAGUGUUUGUGUGACCUCCGGGGCGUUUUUGGAAUGUUGCUGCCAGGCCUCUCCCUGA
rnacentral:rRNA from 1 species